rnacentral:lncRNA from 1 species
GCGGGAGGGGCUGAGAGUCUGUGCGAAGGUCGGUGGACAGACUGCACUGCUUGUUGUUGCGCUUCGGAGGCGGCGAUCCCCGAAGGCGAGCUGAAAUACGGCUGGAGCGUUCCCAGGCUACAGUUUGUAGCCGACGAUUAUGGAAGACUAAGAGCCGGAGAGGUGGCCCACCCUCAGGGAGCGCUUGUGCUCGGAGGGCUUCUCAUUUCCCCAAUACCACAUUAAAUCGUCUCAUCUGAGGAGGAUCCACAGAGCUGUCUUCUAUGGUAAUCUGGAGAAACUGGAGUACCUUCUGCUCAUGUAUCAUGACACCAAGGAGAGAGACAAGGAGGAAAGCAUACGGUGAAAGACAGAGAUCACAUUUCAACUAGAUUCUUAGGAAGUAUGGAUUCACUAACUUCAGCAAAGAGAUGGCAGGAGGGCUAAAGUUGAGAAUCCAGGAAAUGGAAAAACACCAGAAGCCUGCAUGACUGGACAACCUUACCCUGAAAGAAGCAGAUCCCAG